rnacentral:rRNA from 1 species
GACGAACGCUGGCGGCGUGCUUAACACAUGCAAGUCGAACGGAAAGGCCCUGCUUUUGUGGGGUGCUCGAGUGGCGAACGGGUGAGUAACACGUGAGUAACCUGCCCUUGACUUUGGGAUAGCUUCAGGAAACUGGGGCUAAUACCGGAUAGGAGCUCCUGCUGCAUGGUGGGGGUUGGAAAGUUUCGGCGGUUGGGGAUGGACUCGCGGCUUAUCAGCUUGUUGGUGGGGUAGUGGCUUACCAAGGCUUUGACGGGUAGCCGGCCUGAGAGGGUGACCGGCCACAUUGGGACUGAGAUACGGCCCAGACUCCUACGGGAGGCAGCAGUAGGGAAUAUUGCACAAUGGGCGGAAGCCUGAUGCAGCAGCGCCGCGUGCGGGAUGACGGCCUUCGGGUUGUAAACCGCUUUCGCCUGUGACGAAGCGUGAGUGACGGUAAUGAGUAAAGAAGCACCGGCUAACUACGUG